GAGCCUCGAGGUGUGACUGUAAUGUAGUUCUAGAAUAAAACUACAGGUGGCAGUAAUCCAACAACGCUGCCGUCAACCUGUAAAGAAGAAGACGAAGAAGAAGAAGAGUGACAGCAAGAAGUGUCCACGUCAACAUGGAGUCUUCGUGUCUGGAACCUUCACUUUACACAAUAAAGGCUCUUUUCAUUCUUGACAACGAUGGCAACAGACUUCUGUCAAAGUACUACGACCCAGACUUGUACUCCUCCAUGAAGGAGCAGAGGAACUUUGAGAAGAACAUUUUUAACAAGACUCACAAAGCCGACAAUGAAAUUGCUUUCCUAGAGGGCCUGACCGUGGUCUACAAGAGCAGUAUCGAUCUUUUUCUCUACGUGGUUGGCAGCGCUCAGGAGAACGAGUUAAUGCUGACGUCUGUCCUCAGUUGUCUCUUUGAGGCCCUUACUCACAUCCUCAGAAAAAAUGUGGAGCGCAGAAGUUUAUUGGAGAAUAUGGAAGGGGCGUUUCUUGUUGUUGAUGAAAUCAUCGAUGGCGGAGUGAUUCUGGAGAGCGAUCCUCAACAGGUCCUCCAAAAGGUCAAUUACAAGCUUGCGUCAGAAGCCACCUACGGUUUUGUGCUUUUUGAUCACAUGACUGCUAACCUGCAGACAGACAAGAGCCAGCUGUCGUAGCCACAGACGGGGAGAAAGAGAGAGGUGGACGACAACCCACUGUCUGAACAAAGUGUCGCCCAGCAAAUCAGUGACAAACUGACUCUGACUUCUAAUGUACUGCAGUCGGCAAAGGAGCAGAUCAAAUGGUCCAUUCUGAAGUAAGAAGUACAAAGUUUGUUUACAAAAAAAACACCAAAGUGAAAAUCUUUCUGCAGUUUGUGUAUUACUGUCAUCGCACAACAUGAUUGUACUUAUGAAGUACUUUGUAAAAAAAGAACAUUGUUGUGUACUACAUGAGUUUCAUGUACUUGUUGCAAGUUGAAAUAUUGAAGAAGUAUAAUGUACAUAUUAGAGUGGAUCAAUAUUUAUUAUUUGGAAGCUAGAAGAAAAGUAUUUAAAUGUUACGUCCUUCAUAAAAAAAUAUAUAUUUUGCAGUACAAAAGUACAUGUAGAGAACUAAUAAAAUAUUUUUCUGCCCUCAA